rnacentral:rRNA from 1 species
AACGAACGCUGGCGGCAUGCCUAACACAUGCCAGUCGAACGAGACCUUCGGGUCUAGUGGCGCACGGGUGCGUAACGCGUGGGAACCUGCCCUUAGGUUCGGAAUCACUCCCCGAAAGGGGUGCUAAUACCGGAUAAUGUCUUCGGACCCAAGAUUUAUCGCCUUUGGAUGGGCCCGCGUUGGAUUAGCUAGUUGGUAGGGUAAAAGCCUACCAAGGCGACGAUCCAUAGCUGGUCGGAGAGGAUGAUCAGCCACACUGGGACUGAGACACGGCCCAGACUCCUACGGGAGGCAGCAGUGGGGAAUAUUGGACAAUGGGCGAAAGCCUGAUCCAGCAAUGCCGCGUGAGUGAUGAAGGCCUUAGGGUUGUAAAGCUCUUUUACCCGGGAUGAUAAUGACAGUACCGGGAGAAUAAGCGCCGGCUAACUCCGUG